rnacentral:rRNA from 1 species
AGCAGCCGCGGUAAUUCCAGCUCCAAUAGCGUAUAUUAAAGUUGUUGCAGUUAAAAAGCUCGUAGUUGAAUUUCGGGAUCAAUUUAUUGGUCGUGCUAUUGUACGUACUGGUAUUAUUGAUUCCUACCUUCUGACGAACCAUGAUGUCAUUAAUUUGGUGUCUUGGGGAAUCAGGACUGUUACUUUGAAAAAAUUAGAGUGUUUAAAGCAGGCUCACGCUUGAAUACAUUAGCAUGGAAUAACGAAAUAGGACGUUUGAUUCUAUUUUGUUGGUUUCUAGGAUCGACGUAAUGAUUAAUAGGGAUAGUUGGGGGCAUUAGUAUUCAAUUGUCAGAGGUGAAAUUCUUGGAUUUAUUGAAGACUAACUACUGCGAAAGCAUUUGCCAAGGAUGUUUUCAUUAAUCAAGAACGAAAGUUAGGGGAUCGAAGACGAUCAGAUACCGUCGUAGUCUUAACCAUAAACUAUGCCGACUAGGGAUCGGAUGAUGUUAAUUUUUUAAUGACUCAUUCGGCGCCUUACG